rnacentral:rRNA from 1 species
CCAAAGCAUUCUCUGGUGUUGAAGGCCCUGCAAAGCAGCAUCGCGGUGGCGGAGCGUCGUUUGCGACGCCCAACACACAAAACAAGCGGUGAGUGCUUUGGGGUGGGGUGACUGCGUACCUUUUGUAUAAUGGGUCAGCGACUUAUAUUCUGUAGCAAGGUUAACCGAAUAGGGGAGCCGGAGGGAAACCGAGUCUUAAUUGGGCGUUAAGUUGCAGGGUAUAGACCCGAAACCCGGUGAUCUAGCCAUGGGCAGGUUGAAGGUUGGGUAACACUAACUGGAGGACCGAACCGACUAAUGUUGAAAAAUUAGCGGAUGACCUGUGGCUGGGGGUGAAAGGCCAAUCAAACCGGGAGAUAGCUGGUUCUCCCCGAAAGCUAUUUAGGUAGCGCCUCGUGAAUUCAUCUCCGGGGGUAGAGCACUGUUUCGGCUAGGGGGCCAUCCCGGCUUACCAACCCGAUGCAAACUGCGAAUACCGGAGAAUGUUAUCACGGGAGACACACGGCGGGUGCUAACGUCCGUCGUGAAGAGGGAAACAACCCAGACCGCCAGCUAAGGUCCCAAAGUCAUGGUUAAGUGGGAAACGAUGUGGGAAGGCCCAGACAGCCAGGAUGUUGGCUUAGAAGCAGCCAUCAUUUAAAGAAAGCGUAAUAGCUCACUGGUCGAGUCGGCCUGCGCGGAAGAUGUAACGGGGCUAAACCAUGCACCGAAGCUGCGGCAGCGACGCUUAUGCGUUGUUGGGUAGGGGAGCGUUCUGUAAGCCUGCGAAGGUGG